AAGUUUAGGUUAACCCAUCAAACCAAGAGCCUUCAAAGCCCUAAAUAGGGUUCAAACCCCUAACU
rnacentral:tRNA from 1 species